rnacentral:rRNA from 1 species
UACGUAGGGCGCAAGCGUUGUCCGGAAUUAUUGGGCGUAAAGAGCGUGUAGGCGGCCAGGUAGGUCCGUUGUGAAAACUCGAGGCUCAACCUCGAGACGUCGAUGGAAACCAUCUGGCUAGAGUCCGGAAGAGGAGAGUGGAAUUCCUGGUGUAGCGGUGAAAUGCGCAGAUAUCAGGAAGAACACCCGUGGCGAAGGCGGCUCUCUGGGACGGUACUGACGCUGAGACGCGAAAGCGUGGGGAGCGAACAGG